GCCUGGGUGGCUCAGUCAGUUAAGCGUCCGACUUUGGCUCAGGUCAUGAUCUCGCGGUCCGUGGGUUCGAGCCCCACGUCGGGCU
rnacentral:tRNA from 1 species